GAUGAACGCUGGCGGCGUGCCUAAUACAUGCAAGUCGAGCGAACAGACGAGGAGCUUGCUCCUCUGACGUUAGCGGCGGACGGGUGAGUAACACGUGGAUAACCUACCUAUAAGACUGGGAUAACUUCGGGAAACCGGAGCUAAUACCGGAUAAUAUAUUGAACCGCAUGGUUCAAUAGUGAAAGACGGUUUUGCUGUCACUUAUAGAUGGAUCCGCGCCGCAUUAGCUAGUUGGUAAGGUAACGGCUUACCAAGGCAACGAUGCGUAGCCGACCUGAGAGGGGGAUCGGCCAAACUGGAACUGAGACACGGUCCAGACUCCUACGGGAGGCAGCAGUAGGGAAUCUUCCGCAAUGGGCGAAAGCCUGACGGAGCAACGCCGCGUGAGUGAUGAAGGUCUUCGGUUCGUAAAACUCUGUUAUUAGGAAGAACAAAUGUGUAAGUAACUAUGCACGUCUUGACGGUACCUAAUCAGAAAGCCACGGCUAACUACGUG
rnacentral:rRNA from 1 species